rnacentral:rRNA from 1 species
UACGUAGGGGGCAAGCGUUGUCCGGAUUCAUUGGGCGUAAAGAGCGUGUAGGCGGCUAGAUAGGUCCGUUGUGAAAACUCGAGGCUCAACCUCGAGACGUCGAUGGAAACCAUCUGGCUAGAGUCCGGAAGAGGAGAGUGGAAUUCCUGGUGUAGCGGUGAAAUGCGCAGAUAUCAGGAAGAACACCCGUGGCGAAGGCGGCUCUCUGGGACGGUACUGACGCUGAGACGCGAAAGCGUGGGGAGCGAACAGG